rnacentral:tRNA from 1 species
AGUAAGGAUGUAGUUGUCAUAUUUGAUUUGAAAUCAUGUAGCUUGUGUUUAUUCACAAUACUCACUU